rnacentral:tRNA from 1 species
GGCCGGGUAGCUCAGUUGGUUAGAGUGUUGUCCUGAUACGCCAAGGUUAUGGGUUAGCUCCCCGGUCA